rnacentral:rRNA from 1 species
AGGCUGCAACCCGCCUGCAUGAAGUCGGAAUUGCUAGUAAUCGCGGAUCAGCAUGCCGCGGUGAAUACGUUCCCGGGCCUUGUACACACCGCCCGUCACACCAUGGGAGCCGGUAAUACCCGAAGUCAGUAGUCCAACCUCGUGAGGACGCUGCCGAAGGUAGGAUCGGCGACUGGGGUGAAGUCGUAACAAGGUAUC